CGAGAUGUGGCGCAGUUGGUAGCGCGCUUGCUUUGGGAGCAAGAUGCCGCAGGUUCGAGUCCUGUCAUCUCGACCA
rnacentral:tRNA from 1 species